UACAGGGGGUGCAAACGUUGCUCGGAAUCAUUGGGCGUAAAGCGCACGUAGGCGGUCUGUUAUGUCGGAUGUGAAAGCCCUCGGCUCAACCGGGGAAGUGCACUCGAAACUGCAAGGCUAGAGUCUCGGAGAGGAUCGUGGAAUUCUCGGUGUAGAGGUGAAAUUCGUAGAUAUCGAGAGGAACACCGGUGGCGAAGGCGGCGAUCUGGACGAUGACUGACGCUGAGACGCGAAAGCGUGGGGAGCAAACAGG
rnacentral:rRNA from 1 species